AGAGUUUGAUCCUGGCUCAGAUUGACCGCUGGCGGCGGCUUAACACAUGCAAAUCGAGCGGAGAGAGGUAGCUUGCUACUGAUCUUAGCGGCGGACGGGUGAGUAAUGCUUAGGAAUCUGCCUAUUAGUGGGGGACAACAUUUCGAAAGGAAUGCUAAUACCGCAUACGUCCUACGGGAGAAAGCAGGGGAUCUUCGGACCUUGCGCUAAUAGAUGAGCCUAAGUCGGAUUAGCUAGUUGGUGGGGUAAAGGCCUACCAAGGCGACGAUCUGUAGCGGGUCUGAGAGGAUGAUCCGCCACACUGGGACUGAGACACGGCCCAGACUCCUACGGGUGGCAGUAGUGGGGAAUAUUGGACAAUGGGCGCAAGCCUGAUCCAGCCAUGCCGCGUGUGUGAAGAAGGCCUUAUGGUUGUAAAGCACUUUAAGCGAGGAGGAGGCUACUUUAGUUAAUACCUAGAGAUAGUGGACGUUACUCGCAGAAUAAGCACCGGCUAACUCUGUGCCAGCAGCCGCGGUAAUACAGAGGGUGCAAGCGUUGGUCGGAUUUACUGGGCGUAAAGCGCGCGUAGGCGGCUAAUUAAGUCAAAUGUGAAAUCCCCGAGCUUAACUUGGGAAUUGCAUUCGAUACUGGUUAGCUAGAGUGUGGGAGAGGAUGGUAGAAUUCCAGGUGUAGCGGUGAAAUGCGUAGAGAUCUGGAGGAAUACCGAUGGCGAAGGCAGCCACCUGGCCUAACACUGACGCUGAGGUGCGAAAGCAUGGGGAGCAAACAGGAUUAGAUACCCUGGUAGUCC
rnacentral:rRNA from 1 species